AGAGUUUGAUCAUGGCUCAGAUUGAACGCUGGCGGCAGGCCUAACACAUGCAAGUCGAGCGGAUGAAGGGGGCUUGCUCCUGGAUUCAGCGGCGGACGGGUGAGUAAUGCCUAGGAAUCUGCCUGGUAGUGGGGGAUAACGUCCGGAAACGGGCGCUAAUACCGCAUACGUCCUGAGGGAGAAAGUGGGGGAUCUUCGGACCUCACGCUAUCAGAUGAGCCUAGGUCGGAUUAGCUAGUUGGUGGGGUAAAGGCCUACCAAGGCGACGAUCCGUAACUGGUCUGAGAGGAUGAUCAGUCACACUGGAACUGAGACACGGUCCAGACUCCUACGGGAGGCAGCAGUGGGGAAUAUUGGACAAUGGGCGAAAGCCUGAUCCAGCCAUGCCGCGUGUGUGAAGAAGGUCUUCGGAUUGUAAAGCACUUUAAGUUGGGAGGAAGGGCAGUAAGUUAAUACCUUGCUGUUUUGACGUUACCAACAGAAUAAGCACCGGCUAACUUCGUGCCAGCAGCCGCGGUAAUACGAAGGGUGCAAGCGUUAAUCGGAAUUACUGGGCGUAAAGCGCGCGUAGGUGGUUCAGCAAGUUGGAUGUGAAAUCCCCGGGCUCAACCUGGGAACUGCAUCCAAAACUACUGAGCUAGAGUACGGUAGAGGGUGGUGGAAUUUCCUGUGUAGCGGUGAAAUGCGUAGAUAUAGGAAGGAACACCAGUGGCGAAGGCGACCACCUGGACUGAUACUGACACUGAGGUGCGAAAGCGUGGGAGCAAACAGGAUUAGAUACCCUGGUAGUCCACGCCGUAAACGAUGUCGACUAGCCGUUGGGAUCCUUGAGAUCUUAGUGGCGCAGCUAACGCGAUAAGUCGACCGCCUGGGGAGUACGGCCGCAAGGUUAAAACUCAAAUGAAUUGACGGGGGCCCGCACAAGCGGUGGAGCAUGUGGUUUAAUUCGAAGCAACGCGAAGAACCUUACCUGGCCUUGACAUGCUGAGAACUUUCCAGAGAUGGAUUGGUGCCUUCGGGAACUCAGACACAGGUGCUGCAUGGCUGUCGUCAGCUCGUGUCGUGAGAUGUUGGGUUAAGUCCCGUAACGAGCGCAACCCUUGUCCUUAGUUACCAGCACCUCGGGUGGGCACUCUAAGGAGACUGCCGGUGACAAACCGGAGGAAGGUGGGGAUGACGUCAAGUCAUCAUGGCCAUUACGGCCAGGGCUACACACGUGCUACAAUGGUCGGUACAAAGGGUUGCCAAGCCGCGAGGUGGAGCUAAUCCCAUAAAACCGAUCGUAGUCCGGAUCGCAGUCUGCAACUCGACUGCGUGAAGUCGGAAUCGCUAGUAAUCGUGAAUCAGAAUGUCACGGUGAAUACGUUCCCGGGCCUUGUACACACCGCCCGUCACACCAUGGGAGUGGGUUGCUCCAGAAGUAGCUAGUCUAACCGCAAGGGGGACGGUUACCACGGAGUGAUUCAUGACUGGGGUGAAGUCGUAACAAGGUAGCCGUAGGGGAACCUGCGGCUGGAUCACCU
rnacentral:rRNA from 1 species